rnacentral:lncRNA from 1 species
UUUCACUUGAUUUCUUCUUUCUCCCCUUCUUCGGUCUACCUGGAAGUCUUUUGUAUAACGGUGGCAACACUUCUUCUUCAUCUACACUGAUGGGGACAUCCCAGUCUUUCUUGUCUAGCAUUGGAACCUCAUAUGUCUUGACCAAUGUAUUUGGCUUGUAGUAUUCUGAACAGUAAUCUCCAAAUUCUUUUACAUGUUUAUACUUCAAUACAGCUAUAGCGUGAACAUAAGGGAUUUGAUCUAUUUGAAAUCUUGCACAGUUGCA